UGGCAAAUUCUCAGACUGGGACUUCAGGAUGUGGAAAUCGGGAGCCACUGCUGAGGUGGCCAACUGAAGGUGAAGAAGCCCAAGCGUCUGAAGUGCGGGCAGGGCCUGAGGCGUCUCGAGCUUAUCCAGCAAGCAAAGCCCGGGCAGCCUAAGCGCGCGCCACCCACACCCAGGUCGACCCACUCUUCCCGCCCACUGGCCCGCCGCAGCUCCCUCCAUUGGCUCGCGGCACCUGUCCGUUUCCUGGGAGAGUUCAGCACCUCCCGGCAGGAAGAGGCUCCGGCCUCAUUGGGUGCGUGAGAAGGGAAGGGUGGAUCCUAAAAGAUCCCUUUUACAGUUGGAUUCUCCCUCUUGGAUCUGGCUCUGCCUUAGUCCGACCUAGAGGGAUCAGCUUCGCCCACGCCCACUCUCACCCGGAACCUUUCAUCUCUUAUUGAAGCCUUUUAGGCCCAUUGGGAUGUUCAUUAGAACUCUGAAAACUACAGUUCUCCCCUUUAUGAGGACUGCACCACAGCUCGCCCUCUCCUGGGUUCCGGUAAGAAGAGAUUCCAAUACCACUCUUUUUUCAGAAUUCAGAAAGGCAAGAGACCACCUUACUGAGCUUCAAACUGGGGCUGGGAACGCUGCCAUGAAUUGGGCUUGGUCUGUCUGAAGGGAGCCACCUUUUCGACAAUCCUUAGACUUCUUUUGCCUGUUGGAAUUACACCUUGGAUCGUGGCGAAGUCUAUAGAGGUCAGAUUAAGAAGAACCAAAGCAGAAUAAACGUAGAACCCGAUGCUGAGUUCACGAGUGAGGACGACCUCUUCCUAUAUGCUUUGCUAUACCCUGCGUUUUGAACAUUAAGGACGAGAUAGGAGGCCCAUAAUGUUUCUUCUUGCUUUAAUCCUGUCGUGGCAACGUUGACUUCCAGUAAGAAAGGUUCUCUGAUCUUUUUUUCUCUUUUCUUUUCUUUUCUUUUCUUUUCCUUUCUUUUCUUUUCUUUUCUUCCAGGGUCUCAGUUUGUUGUCCAGGCCAGAGUGCAGUGGCGCAAUCUCGGCUCACUGCAGCCUCAACAUCCUAGGCUCAAGCCAUCCUCCCACCUCACCCUCCCGAGUAGCUGGAAGUACAGGCUCGUCUUGAACUCUGGGCUGAAGUCAUCCACCUGCCUCGGCCUCCCAAAGUGCUAGGAUUACAGGCCUUAGCCACCUCACCUAGUCCUCUGAAAUUUCUAAAUAAGCCAGUGCUGAAGGAUCUAGCCCAACUUCUACCAAACUUUGUUACCUUUUCCCCUUCAGUGGUAGGAAUAGACAUGAUUUAUUUAGCAAGGGUGAGUGCUUUUGUUGAAUUUUAGUUUGGGGUUUAUUAUUACACAAACUAAAGACAGCGGGGCAAUUUGGAAAGAUAACUAGGCAGCUGCAUGACUUCAGGCAGGUGUCCUAACACUGUACUCUUAAAGUGAGGGGAGUGAACUGGAAGAUAUCCUGUGUCCUCAUAGUUUGAACAUUCUGUGGUUCGCUCAUCAAUAUGACUACACUGUAUAGUCAUAGCACACAUUUGAGGUCUUGAAGAAGAGAGAUGAGGCUUGUUCUAAAAAGCAUCCAGAGUAGGUCUUGAAAAAGGAUUUCUGUUUAAGUAAAGACCUAAAACAAUGCUCAGAUUCCUAUUAUACAUAGGAUCCAUGAACUGGAAAAGAUAUGGAUGAGUCUGAGUAAAUUAUCUAGGUUUUGUUUUAGACAAAACCAUUCCACUGUCAAGCAGCAGAGAGCAAGGGAGUGGGGAUGGAGGUAUAUUGUGUUUUUUUAAAGGCCAUAAGAAAAUAAUUGUCUUGAUAAAAUUUUAACUUAGGACUGGGUAUGGUGGCUCGUGCCUGAAAUCUCAGCAGUUUGGGAGGCUGAGGCAGGAGGAUCACUUGAGCCCAGGAAGGAGACCAGCCUGAGCAACAUGGCGAGACCCCUAUCUCUACAAAAAAUGUUAAAAUUUGCCAGGCAUGGUGGUGCAAGCCUGUAGUCCCAGCUGUUUGAGAGGCUGAGGCAGGAAGAUUGCUUGAACCUAGGAGGUCAAGGCUGUAGUGAACAGUGUUUGCUAUACCACAUUCCAAUCUGGUGACAAAGCAAGACCCUGUCUCAAAAAAAAGAAUUUUUUUUAACUUGAGGGAAAAAAAGUUUUACAAACUGUAGACACACAGCAAAACAGAAACAGGAAAAAAAGUACUAAAAAGAGAAAAAUGUCAGUAGUGGGUCUCUAAGUAGUCGGAUUAUGAGUAAUUGGGUAAGUUUAUUGUCAUUUUGCUUCUCCAUAAUUUCGUAUGUUCUACUAUUUAGUUUUGUGGAUUCCUUCCCACUCCCUGGGAAGAGGGGAAGAGAGGAGAAAAAUCAUUGAUUCUUCUCAAUAGGAAAACUAAUUCCCUGUGCAACUUAAACCUUUAAUACCAUAGCAUGUGUUUAGAAUCUCAUAAAGAAUCAUUCAUCAAACAUUUCAACAAGUCAUUCAGUUAAUAUUUGUUGAAUGGGUAAGUGCUAGGAAUUCAAAUGAGGGUAGAUCUUUCAGACUAAACUUGUCUGGCAGGGUUGCAUGGAAGAAGCAGAACCAGAACUGGUCCUGGAGGGGAAUGGGGUGGAGCAGGGAAGAGUGUGUUCAGGAAAGGAGGGUGGGAAUAGGCACAGCCACAGACGUAGGAAAGCAUGGAGAGGGGACCAUUUGGAUGGAAUAGAAGGAUGAGAAAGAACUGAAAAGAUAGGUUGAGACCAGACUGUAGAGGGCCCUGUAAUCACUUGAUUCACACUAGUAAUUAUGUAAUUGAUUAUUUGUAAUUAUUUAAUGUCUGGUGCAUCCACCAUAAGGGUAGGAACCAGUCUGUCUGGUUCUCCACAGCUCUCCCAGCACCUAGAGAGUGCUUAGCACAUAAUUGACUCUCAGUACUUCUUUGCAACUGGAUGGCUGACUUGAAUCCCAGGCGAAGAAGCCUUGGUUUUGUUCAGCAUGUAAAAGAUUAUCACUGAAAGGUUUUGAGUAGGGCUGUGGGGUGAUCAAAUACUGCCUUCCCUGAGGACUAGAAUGGAUGAGGAGAUGCUUAAGUUGGGCAUUGAAAGAUAUGUACAACCUGAUUAAUAGAGAAUAAAAGAUGUGGAAAUAGAAAUUAAUGUAGUGGGUAGCAAUAAUAGAAAUUUCAUCCAGAGAAGAGGAGAGAAUGCAAAAAGGGAGUGAUGGGAAAUAAAACUGAUGAAAUAAAAGAAGGGCAGAUUGUAAAAGACUUUGAAAGUCAGGUGGAAUUACCAAGAUUUUACCACUAUGAAGUUUUUGAGGAGGGGAUUGGCAGAUGUCACCCCAAAAAAGAAACAUUUUCUCUACCACGCUGAAAAGCAUAGCAUAAGGGAGAAAAUAGCAAUCAAGAUGCAAGUUGGCAUUAGACUUAAGUCAACAGAUCAUGGUUUAUCCUGGCUUUGUCCUUUAAAAAUGCUGUGACUUUGGGCAAGACACCAGUUUGAACCUCAGUUUCCUCAAUUUUAAGUAGGUGUAAUAAUAAUACCUGGUUUUAAUGGAUGUUUACAGGAUUAAAUGAGACAGGACAUGCAGAAGCUCUUAGCUUGCUGCUCACACCCAGCAAAUAGUCAACAUAUUUUUUUCCUUCUUUCACCUGCCCAUUACCCCCAAGAAACACUCUUUAAUUACACCUAGGCCUCUUGACUGAAAGUUGAACCCAGGGUUUUCCCUAAAGGAAAGAGAGAGAAGGAAGGAAGGAAAAAGGAACAGAGGCCUCUGGGAGGCCGAGAUGGGUGGACCACUUGAGCUGAGGAGUUCAAGACCAGCCUGGGCAACAUGGUGAAACCCCAUCUCUACAAAAUAGAAAAAUUAGCCAGGCAUGGUGGUGCCUGUGGUCCUAGCUUUUGGGAGGCUGAGAUGGGAGGAUCGCUUGAGCAGAGAUGUUGAGGCUGUAGUGAGCUGAGAUUGCUCCACUGCACUCUAGCCUGGGUAACAAAACGAGACCCUCUCUCUCAAAAAAAAAAAAAGGAACAGAAAGGAGAGGAGAGGAAGGGGUGAAGGAAGGAGGGAGGGCAGGAGGAGAGGGAAAGAAAGAAAGGACGAAAAAGAGAAAAACAGGAAGGAAGCAGGGAGGGGAGAAAAGGAAGGAAAGAAAGGAGGGAAGGGAAGAAAGAGGGCAGGCAUCAUAGACUAUUGAAGAAUUUGGGGUCUUGGCUUCUGACUGAGUUUGAAUCUAUGCUUACUGUGUGCCAUUAGGCAAGUUAACCCUGCUGUGCCCCAGAUCCCUCACCUGGAAAUUAGGGAUAAUUGUACCUAUCUUAUAUAUGUUAUGUGCUUAACACAUAAUCUAGCAUGUAGUUACUGGUAUUAUUUGAGCCUAAACCGUGACUUAGUUAAUGAAUGUCACCCUUUCCUUGAUUCUUUUGGGAAAUAUUUAAAAUUAGUACUUUGAUGUAAAAAAAAAAAAUCCCUCAAGCAGACUUUUACCUUUUUUUUUUUUUUUUUUUAAAGAAACAAGGUCUCACUGUGUCACCCAGGCUGGAGAGCAGUGGCACGAUCAUAGCUCACUGAUCACAUGGCAGCCUCAAACUCCUGGACUCAGUGGGUCCUCCUGCCUCAGCAUCCUGAGUAGCUGGGACUACAGGUGCGUGCCACCACACCUGGCAAAUUUUGUUAAUUUUUGGUAGAGAUAAGGACUCACUGUGUUGCCCAGGCUGGCUUCAAACUCUUGGCCUCAAGUGAUCCUCCUGCCUCCAUCUCUUCAAAUGCUGGGAUUACAGGUUUGAGCCACCGUGCCUGGCCCCUUUGACCUUUUCUAAAAGAGCCAGCCCACCACUUUCACCUCUCAUGUGUACCAUUUCAGGAAAGAAGCCCUAGUUCCUGUUUCAUAAACUCCAUUUGCAUUAAAUAUGAUUUUAGGCAAAUGGUUUGGGCAGAUAUGUGGCAGGGCUGAUGGAACAGACCUGUGGAGUCAGACCCAGACAAGUCUUGAUCAACUUGUCAUGACUGUGGGAGGCCUUUCACCUCUCUGAGCCUCUGUUUCAUUGUUGGUAACAUGAGAUUGUAUAAAAUGGGGUUGCUGUGAAGGUUAGAUGAAGUAAGAGGUCCUCCUGGCAGUGCCUAAUACAUAAUAAUAAGUGCUUAAUAAAUUGUAAAUGUUAUUACAGUUGAUAGUAUUUAAUUCCUCUAUGAGGAAUUAUGAGUUAAUGUAGCUUGAACCACCAAAAAGGUAAGAAAUCUUUCCUCUUUUAGGAAAACCUCAGUUCAGAAAAGCAAUAAACUAUGGGGGGGGUGGCUGUUUAGAAUGUUGCAUCUCUGGAGAGCAAGUUGCAUUUUAACAAUGAUCAGAGCCUUUAAUUAAGGAGUGAAGGUCAAAUCAUUUCUGCUUCAUCCAGCCUGGUUGCAGAGUGAGCCCAUGGGACAGCCCUCUGAAAUUAUACUGCUUACAACCAUGCUGAGUCUGCAAGGACUUCGUCCAAGCCUUUCCGUCCAGGACCUCAAACAGAUCCAAUCACAAGAAGAGAGAUUUCAGGAAAGAGAAAAUUAUUCCUAUCAUCGGGGUUUUUGAAGAACAUGAAAUGACUGGGAAAAUAAUCAUGUUAAGUGGAAAAAAAAAAGAAAUCUAUCUGUUGUAAUUUUCAAAUAAUUUUUAAAUAAAUUUGAAAAAUUAAGAGAACUAUAUAUAUAAUACAUUCCUAAUCUUGUGAAAAAUAUAUAUGCAUUAAUAUUAUUGAAAGAAAUAUAUCAAAAGGUGAACAGCAAUUAUCACCAAUCUAGAUUAUGAGAUUAGGAGUGAUUUUUUUUCUUUGUCCUAUACUAUUUAAUAUUUUCUACCAUUAAAAUAUUCUGAUUUUCUAAUUAGAAUAGUACGUUAGACAAAGAAGGACAAAUAUCACAUGAACUCUCACUCUCUUAUGGAACAGAUCUUGUGGAAUCUAAAAAAGUUGAACUCAUAGAAAAAGAGGAAAAUGAUGGUUACCAGUUAGAAAAAAGGAAUAAGUUCAAGAGAUCUAUUGUACACCAUGGUCAAUAUAGUUAACAAUAUAUUUUAUACUUUAAAAUUGCUAAGGUAGUAGAUUUUAAGUGUUCUCACCACACAAAAAAAUAAGUAUGUGAAAAGCAUAUGGUAAUUAGCUUGAUUUAACCACGCCACAGUGCAUACAUAUGUCAAAACAUCAUGUUGUAUACUAUAAAUAUAUACACUUUUUGUCAAUUUUAAACAGGUUAUAAAAAAACAUGUUAUUGUUGAUAAUUAUGAAAAAUUUUAAUGAUGUGGAAAUGUGUACAGUAUAAUGAUAAAUGAAAGAGUAGUAAAAAUCCUUAUAAAAUAUAAUUACAAAUGUGUUGGGUGGAUAAUAUAAAAAUCUUAACAGCUAUUUCUGAGCUAAGUGGUGGAGCAUGGGUAAUUUUUAGUGCCUUCUGUGUCAGGCUGUUCUUGCAUUGCUAUGAAGAAAUACCUGGCCAGGCGCGGUGGCUCACGCCUA
rnacentral:lncRNA from 1 species